GGUCGGUUAGCUCAGUCGGCAGAGCAUCGCAAUCACAAUCAUUAUAUCCAUCUUGAUGGAACAAGAUGUAACUGCGAAGGUCAUAGGUUCAAGCCCUAUACUGACCA